rnacentral:tRNA from 1 species
GCCUCGUUAGCGUAGUUGGAUUAUCGCAUCUGUCUAAUACAGCGUGCCUCAGCAUCAGCUGAGUUAAACAGAAGGUCACUAGUUCGAGCCUAGUACGGGGCA